AGAAAUGGUAAAUUUGAUUAAUUAUUAUUAUUUAUUUAUUUUUCAUUUUAAAUACACCACACAUACACACACUCCACACAUGCAUAUACACGUACAGAUCUCUCUCUCACACACACACAUCUCACUCUUUCUCUCUCCCUUCUCUCUAUCUUUUUCUCCCUUUCCCUCAAAAGCCAUGGCAGCCGCCCAUUCUCCUCCCUCACCAGCCACUACCACCAAAAGUCGCGGCUCCCUUCUCCCCUUUUCCUAUCGCCCAACAAACCAACUAACUCUGGCGGCCACCUAAAACCACCACCAAACCUCCAACCAGCCGCCAAUGUCGCCCUUCUCCAUCAUACUGCCGCCUCAGAUUUAACCACCGGAAGGCGAGCAACGACGGAGCUUCACUAUUACUUCAUUACCCUUUUCCUUUACUUUGCUUUGCUAUUAUAUAUUAAAAAUAAUGGCAUAGGUCAUUAAUGUCCAGAUAUGGCCGAGUUUUGCAAUUUUAGCGUUGCUCCGGCAUCCGUCGUUGAAGCAACGCCACCAGUCCCUCUUACUAAUUGUGUGUAUUUUUAAUUUUGGUUGCGUAUUCUUUUAUUUUGGACUGAUAUCGUUAUUUUGAGAUUUUUUUUUUGGUGACCUAUUAUUUUAGUUUCUCCCGGUGAACUUGAAAUUUUGAUAAUGAUUUAAUAGUCUAUUUUUUAUGUGCGGUUCUUUUUGAUACUCCCAUGGAUGUGCAUUGCUCUACUUUAUAAUUUGGAGUUGCAUUUUGGAUAGUAUACUUUGACUAUUCUAUUUAUCUAUUUAU
rnacentral:lncRNA from 1 species